AAGUCGUAACAAGGUUUCCGUAGGUGAACCUGCGGAAGGAUCAUUAUCAAAUGCUCUUAAGCAUCCCACCUUGUGUGCACCGUAUCUACAUGUCCUUUGGUGUCUGUGGACACCUCUGGACUGUUAUACACACUUUUUCUUAUUAUCAGAUUGUCGGAUUACUAUUAUUUCGAAAGAAAUAAAUGUUGAAAUUGAAAACAACUUUUAACAAUGGAUCUCUUGGCUCUUG
rnacentral:misc_RNA from 1 species